UACGUAGGGUGCGAGCGUUGUCCGGAAUUAUUGGGCGUAAAGGGCUCGUAGGCGGUUUGUCGCGUCGGGAGUGAAAACCUUGGGCUUAACUCAGGGCUUGCUUUCGAUACGGGCAGACUAGAGGUAUGCAGGGGAGAACGGAAUUCCUGGUGUAGCGGUGAAAUGCGCAGAUAUCAGGAGGAACACCGGUGGCGAAGGCGGUUCUCUGGGACGGUACUGACGCUGAGACGCGAAAGCGUGGGGAGCGAACAGG
rnacentral:rRNA from 1 species